rnacentral:rRNA from 1 species
UCUCCGUUGGUGAACCAGCGGAGGGAUCAUUACCGAGUCUAAACAACUCAUCAACCCUGUGAACAUACCUAAAACGUUGCUUCGGCGGGAACAGACGGCCCCGUGAAACGGGCCGCCCCCGCCAGAGGACCCCCUAAUUCUGUUGCUAUAUGUAUCUUCUGAGUAAACAAGCAAAUAAAUUAAAACUUUCAACAACGGAUCCUUGACAACUCUUGGCUCUGGCAUCGAUGAAGAACGCAGCGAAAUGCGAUAAGUAAUGUGAAUUGCAGAAUUCAGUGAAUCAUCGAAUCUUUGAACGCACAUUGCGCCCGCCAGUAUUCUGGCGGGCAUGCCUGUUCGAGCGUCAUUACAACCCUCAGGCCCCCGGGCCUGGCGUUGGGGAUCGGCGAAAUUCGACUGGGCGCCCCCCUGCGGGCACGCGCCGUCCCCCAAAUACAGUGGCGGUCCCGCCGCAGCUUCCAUUGCGUAGUAGCUAACACCUCGCAACUGGAGAGCGGCGCGGCCAUGCCGUAAAACACCCAACUUCUGAAUGUUGACCUCGAAUCAGGUAGGAAUACCCGCUGAACUUAAGCAUAUCAAUAAGCGGAGGAAAAGAAACCAACAGGGAUUGCCCCAGUAACGGCGAGUGAAGCGGCAACAGCUCAAAUUUGAAAUCUGGCUCUCGGGCCCGAGUUGUAAUUUGUAGAGGAUGCUUUUGGUGAGGUGCCUUCCGAGUUCCCUGGAACGGGACGCCACAGAGGGUGAGAGCCCCGUCUGGUUGGACACCGAGCCUCUGUAAAGCUCCUUCGACGAGUCGAGUAGUUUGGGAAUGCUGCUCUAAAUGGGAGGUAUAUGUCUUCUAAAGCUAAAUACCGGCCAGAGACCGAUAGCGCACAAGUAGAGUGAUCGAAAGAUGAAAAGAACUUUGAAAAGAGAGUUAAACAGUACGUGAAAUUGUUGAAAGGGAAGCGCUUGUGACCAGACUUGGGCUUGGUUGAUCAUCCGGGGUUCUCCCCGGUGCACUCUUCCGGCUCAGGCCAGCAUCAGUUCGCCCUGGGGGACAAAGGCAGCGGGAAUGUGGCUCUCUCCGGGGAGUGUUAUAGCCCGCUGCGUAAUACCCUGUGGCGGACUGAGGUUCGCGCAUUCGCAAGGAUGCUGGCGUAAUGGUCAUCAGUGAC